UCUGAUGAGUUAAAUUCAUUCAUGGCAAUCCAAUGAGAAUGAGGUCCAUCAAACCAAUGACUCUGAUAUCGUCAGCUAUUGCGCAUGCUCCACACCCACCGGAUGCGGAAAAGUCCAUUUAGACGUUAACGAGCGCGCGUGGAGUGAAUCCUUUGGCAUACUUGACAGUGAGAAAUACAUCACAAAAUAAAGCCACAUCUCCAUGCUCUGAGAUUCUUUUGCUCCUCCUCAACAAUACAUGGUGAACAUGAUGGCCCAGCCCAUAAGACUGAGGAUCAUACUUGGAGAAGAUGAUGCCAGGAAACUAAUUUUACCAGCG